rnacentral:rRNA from 1 species
GACGAACGCUGGCGGCGUGCUUAACACAUGCAAGUCGAACGGUAAGGCCCUUCGGGGUACACGAGUGGCGAACGGGUGAGUAACACGUGGGUGAUCUGCCCUGCACUUCGGGAUAAGCCUGGGAAACUGGGUCUAAUACCGGAUAGGACCACUGCCUGCAUGGGUGGUGGUGGAAAGCUUUUGCGGUGUGGGAUGGGCCCGCGGCCUAUCAGCUUGUUGGUGGGGUGAUGGCCUACCAAGGCGACGACGGGUAGCCGGCCUGAGAGGGGGACCGGCGACACUAGGACUGAGAUACGGCCCAGACUCCUACGGGAGGCAGCAGUGGGGAAGAUUGCACAAUGGGCGCAAGCCUGAUGCGGCGACGCCGCGUGAGGGAUGACGGCCUUCGGGUUGUAAACCUCUUUCAGCACCGACGAAGCGCAAGUGACGGUAGGUGCAGAAGAAGGACCGGCCAACUACGUGCCAGCCGCCGCCGUAA